UACGAAGGGGGCUAGCGUUAAUCGGAAUUACUGGGCGUAAAGCGUGCGCAGGCGGUUUGCUAAGACAGGUGUGAAAUCCCCGGGCUUAACCUGGGAACUGCGCUUGUAACUGGCAAGCUGGAGUGUGGCAGAGGGGGGUGGAAUUCCACGUGUAGCAGUGAAAUGCGUAGAGAUGUGGAGGAACACCGAUGGCGAAGGCAGCCCCCUGGGCUAACACUGACGCUCAUGCACGAAAGCGUGGGGAGCAAACAGG
rnacentral:rRNA from 1 species